AGCAGCCGCCGCGGUAAUACAGAGGGUGCAAGCGUUAAUCGGAAUUACUGGGCGUAAAGCGCGCGUAGGUGGUUUGUUAAGUUGGAUGUGAAAUCCCCGGGCUCAACCUGGGAACUGCAUCCAAAACUGGCAGGCUAGAGUAGGGCAGAGGGUGGUGGAAUUUCCUGUGUAGCGGUGAAAUGCGUAGAUAUAGGAAGGAACACCAGUGGCGAAGGCGACCACCUGGGCUCAUACUGACACUGAGGUGCGAAAGCGUGGGGAGCAAACAGGAUUAGAUACCCCUGUAGUCCCUGUCUCUUAUAC
rnacentral:rRNA from 1 species